UACGUAGGGUGCGAGCGUUAAUCGGAAUUACUGGGCGUAAAGCGUGCGCAGGCGGUUUUGUAAGACAGAGGUGAAAUCCCCGGGCUUAACCUGGGAACUGCCUUUGUGACUGCAAGGCUUGAGUGCGGCAGAGGGGGAUGGAAUUCCGCGUGUAGCAGUGAAAUGCGUAGAUAUGCGGAGGAACACCGAUGGCGAAGGCAAUCCCCUGGCCCUGCACUGACGCUCAUGCACGAAAGCGUGGGGAGCAAACAGG
rnacentral:rRNA from 1 species